rfam:Glycine max cultivar Williams 82 chromosome 20, whole genome shotgun sequence.
GAGAGCCAAAUGAAUAGAAAGAUUCAUGUUUGGUUCGGGAAAACUCUACUUAUUAUUAAUAUGUAACUAAUAAAAAAUUACAAAUUUUAA